GCUCCAUCAAAGUCGACGAACGACCCCACCUAAUGGCCGGAGGUGUCAUAUCCUGACAUAUAAAACUACCUUAUUGAAUCUCCAGAAAACUAGGGAUUUGCACGGCAAGUCAAAUGAAGAACUACAAAUCCCUGGAAGCACAUAAGUUCUUCACCAGUGGCUGGGUGGAUGUGGUGGUACUGCACCAUAAACCCUCUGCUGACAUUACCGUUUUCAAGACCCAGGUCAAGCCAUCGUGGAGGGUAACCAAUAAAUCCCACAACACUUGGGUUGCUGCUAAGAGGACUGGAGAGAUUAAAGCGGCUCACUGUGAUUGCAUGGCAGGACUGGGAGAAAGUUGUUACCAUGUUGGGGCACUCCUUUUUAAGUCAGAGGCAUCUGUCCGCCUUGGCUACACAAGUAUGACAGCAACCAUCAUCGCCUGUGCCUGGAACAAAGUCUGUACCAAAAAGGUUGAGGCAGACAUGGUGAAGGACAUUAAGUUCUACACAGACAAAGCAAAAAGAAAGAGGGGAGUCGGAAAAAAGUGGAGGGCAGUUCCGAAGCAAAAGAAGAACAUCAACAGUUCCUUGAAAUGUUGUCUGCCACUGGAGAACUGCCCGUUGGUCUCAGCACUUUUAAGGGAUAUGCAGACUCUUUCAGGCCAAAGCCAUGGUUUGAAAAUCUCUUAGGGUUUUCUGAUGACCAAGUAUAGGCAAUAGAAGAAGAAACCAAAGACCAGGCAGAAUGUUCAUCUUGGCACCAGCAAAGAAUUGGGAGGGUGACGGGCACAUCCGCACACAGGGUACUACACACGUCUCUUGAGAAGGCAUCAAAAGCACUGCUGAGAGAGAUUGUGCAGAAAAUGUCUCUGCAAAACCGGCUGACAACUCCAGACAUUGUUUGGGGUAGGGAUCAUGAAAAGGAGGCCAUCAAAACUUAUAAGUAUGCCCUAGGCCUAACGACCACAUGCACAGCACAAACUUCAAUCACCAUAUCAAAUGAGGUAUAUACAGCCCACAAGAGCCUCAAUAUUCUAAGGGCAGGCUUCCGAGUGUGCAAAGACAAGUCCUACAUUGUUGUAAGCUGUGAUGCAUACAUAACCUGUGAUUGCUGUGGGAAAUGAGUGGUUGAGGCAAAGUGUCCCUUGAAGUGGGCCAGUGAUGUUUCACCUGAUCACUGGCCCACAGACAUGGACAUCUGGACACUUUGUUGUCGCUGAGGACCAACCACAGCUACUACACCCAGGUGCAGCUGCAGAUGUAUGUAUGAAAAACAGGCUAUGCAGACUUCAUCACCUGGACCCCAAGGCAAACGGUCAUCUUCUGUGUCCAACGAGAUGAAGAUUUCAUCUGUAAGGCAGUGGAUACCAUCAGCCAUUUCUGGGCCAGGCACAUCUACGCUGGUGGGAACCUCAGUCCCAGAAACAGAGCUGGAGCUUCAGUUGUAAUUUCAGGAGAUUGAGGUGGAGUCCACAGACAGUGCUGUCCCAGACACAGGACAGGAGGUUCAGGGACUUCACAAAGCAGGAAGUGGC